UACGUAGGGGGCAAGCGUUGUCCGGAUUUAUUGGGCGUAAAGAGCGUGUAGGCGGUCAGGUAGGUCCGUUGUGAAAACUCGAGGCUCAACCUCGAGACGCCGAUGGAAACCAUCUGACUAGAGUCCGGAAGAGGAGAGUGGAAUUCCUGGUGUAGCGGUGAAAUGCGCAGAUAUCAGGAAGAACACCCGUGGCUAAGGCGGCUCUCUAGUACGGUACUGACGCUGAGACGCGAAAGCGUGGGGAUCAAACAGG
rnacentral:rRNA from 1 species